rnacentral:rRNA from 1 species
UACGUAGGGUCCGAGCGUUGUCCGGAAUUACUGGGCGUAAAGAGCUCGUAGGUGGUUUGUCGCGUUGUUCGUGAAAACUCACAGCUUAACUGUGGGCGUGCGGGCGAUACGGGCAGACUUGAGUACUGCAGGGGAGACUGGAAUUCCUGGUGUAGCGGUGAAAUGCGCAGAUAUCAGGAGGAACACCGAUGGCGAAGGCAGGUCUCUGGGCAUUAACUGACGCUGAGGAGCGAAAGCAUGGGGAGCGAACAGG